rnacentral:rRNA from 1 species
UAGGGAAUAUUGGGCAAUGGGCGCAAGCCUGACCCAGCCAUGCCGCGUGAGGGAAGAAGGGGCAUCGCCUUGUAAACCUCUUUUCUCUGGGGAUAAGGCGCUAUUGGAUAGCGAUUGAAGGUAUCAGAGGAAUAAGCACCGGCUAACUACGUGCCAGCAGCCGCGGUAAUACGUAGGGUGCAAGCGUUGUCCGGAUUUACUGGGUUUAAAGGGUGCGUAGGCGGGCAGAUAAGUCUGGGAUGAAAUGGCAGGGCUCAACCUUGUCGCUGUCUUGGAUACUGUUUGUCUGGAGUGGGAGUGAGGUAGCUGGAAUGAGUGGUGUAGCGGUGAAAUGCGUAGAGAUCACUCAGAACACCGAUUGCGAAGGCAGGCUACUGACUCUUAACUGACGCUGAGGCAC